rnacentral:tRNA from 1 species
GCGGGUAUAGCUCAGUGGUAGAGCCCAUGCUUAGCAUGCAUGAGCAUCGGGUUCAAUCCCCAGUACCUCA